CAGACCCUGUUAGCGGCGCCCAAAACUCCCUUCGGCACGCGGGCGGUAGGAGAUAACACGGGCCGCGGGGGGUGCAGACAGUGUUAUCUCAGGCGCCGGGGAAGCAGCGUGUCGCCUCUCGAGAUAGGGGACCGUCAGACAGAAGCUCCUCUCCUGAAAAUAAGCCUCCGUCUCCUCGCCAUCUUCAUCGUCGAUAUUGGAAGGGCCUCACGAAUCGGGUCCUCAUCAGUGCCUCCGAUACUCAGACCCGCCUUCCCUUUGUGUGAGGCUCCCUUGUUAUGUACCUGCCUACCCGCCUCACCUUGCGUCGCCGGAUCUUCCCGUGACGCGACUCUCCCUCCUACAAGG